rnacentral:rRNA from 1 species
UACAGAGGUCCCGAGCGUUGUUCGGAUUUAUUGGGCGUAAAGGGUGCGUAGGCGGCGGAGUAAGUUGGGUGUGAAAUCCCGGGGCUCAACCUCGGAAUGGCAUUCAAUACUGCUUCGCUAGAGUACUGGAGAGGAGGCUGGAAUUUACGGUGUAGCAGUGAAAUGCGUAGAUAUCUGGAGGAACACCAGUGGCGAAAGCGCGUGACUGGGCCACAACUGACGCUGAGGAACGAAAGCCAGGGGAGCGAAAGGG